AGCUCUGGGGUGUCAUCACGUAAGAUUGCAAAUCUUAAGAAGCAGACUAAUCGUCUGCCGGGGCUU
ensembl:Mt_tRNA